rnacentral:rRNA from 1 species
CCUACGGGAGGCAGCAGUGAGGAAUAUUGGUCAAUGGACGCAAGUCUGAACCAGCCAUGCCGCGUGCAGGAAGACGGCUCUAUGAGUUGUAAACUGCUUUUGUACGAGGGUAAACGCAGAUACGCGUAUCUGUCUGAAAGUAUCGUACGAAUAAGGAUCGGCUAACUCCGUGCCAGCAGCCGCGGUAAUACGGAGGAUUCAAGCGUUAUCCGGAUUUAUUGGGUUUAAAGGGUGCGUAGGCGGUCGGAUAAGUUAGAGGUGAAAUCCCGGGGCUCAACUUCGGAAUUGCGUGUGGUAGUGUGCGGCGGGAGAGUAGUUGGGGUGGGCGGGAGGUGGGGGGGAGCGGUG